CGAGUAGGCCGGAUGGUCGCGGGCGCAGUGCUGAAAAGCCGCGCACGAGGAAAGUCCGGGCUCCAUAGGGCAAAGGUGCCGGGUAAUCCCCGGUGAAGGCGACUUCAAGGAUAGUGCAACAGAAAUAAACCGCCAUACCCAUAGAAAGGAGCAAUCCUGAAGGGUAAGGUAAGGAUGGAAAGGCGAGGUAAGAGCUCACCGGCCCCACGGCGACGUGGGGUGCUCUGUAAACCCCACCUGGAGCAACACCGUGACAAGGAACAUAAAGGGCGGCCCGUCCGUUCCUUAGAGGUGGCUGGAGCCUUGUAGCAAUACAAGGCCUAGACAGAUGAUCAUUCAAGACAGAACCCGGCUUACAGGUCUACUCUAUAU
rnacentral:RNase_P_RNA from 1 species